GUGACUCGCAGUCACAGGUAUGCUUGAGCAGGUGGCUUGCAGUCACAGGUAGCUUGAGUAGGUGACAGUUUUCCAUACUCCAUAGUACCCCUAUGACAUAUUUUCUACAAACAGUGAAGUCUGCGGAGGCAGCGAGGGAUUGAGGUCAAGGGUUUUGCGGGGUGUAAUUAACUUAUUGUAUGACGUAUACAAAAAUCAAAUGCUUAUUAUGUUUGUAGCUUUUGAUAUCUGUUGCUACUUUUGAUGAUUUUGCAGCCAAUAGAUGCUCCUCGAUCUGGUAUGGAUUACCCAUCUGGAGUUGGACCUAGCAGGCAAAUGAAAGCUGAUGACAACCCAGGACACAGUUUGACAUCACUUUCUUGUUCAAGGCUGAAGAAUGAAUUAUAUGUCUCUGCAAAGGAAGCAUUGUUUGAUCAUUUCAAAGAAGUGGUUGCAGAGGAAAUAACAAAAGUAUUGUGCCCUCAGUAUGAUGGUAUUAUUAGUCAGGAACCAGCAGAUACAUGUGAAUCUAUGGAUAGGAGUAGGACACCGCCACAUGUUUCUCAAAUGACUACAUGUGAAGCAUCUAGUUUAGCCGCAGUACAGAAUAAUUCACCUUAUUUGGCACUUACUGGCAAAGCGCGAGUCAUAUCACCAUGGUACGACUUGCUGACGAUCCUUCCGAACAAGUGGAAGAUUUCCUGUCAGGUAAUCACACUAGUGAGCGUUUUGGCGCCUGUUAUGUUGCUCCUGUAAAGAGCAUUCAGGAGACGAGGAAGAAGGACAUGAUAGUGGAUCUCAACGACAAUUUCCAUUUCAAUACUCAACAAUGCGUGGAACAUUUUUCCUCCAGUGGGAUAAGGGAAAGCAGACAAUAUAAUAUUAAACGGAAGCCUCUUAUUUUUCCAAAUGGGAAGCGUCCAAGUGAUUAUGCAUCAAAAACCAAUUUUGAUACUUCUCCCACAAGUCCGCUGAAGAAAAAAGGACGUACGAAGCUGAUCGUGGACCUUCUCAAUACAGCUGAGGCUCCUUGUAGAGCUACUACUUCAAAGAGUCGACGAGAUUUCAAGGAAAAGUGUCUGACUUACCGCACAAAAAAGGAAAAUUUCCCGAUUGCAUGCAGAUCAAACAAAAGCGCUCGGACUUCCAUUGAUGGUUGGCAGUGGCGUAACUGGUCACGGAACGCUACUAUAGCGGAGAAAGACGGUGUUAGAGGAUGGAAUGAUACAAAGAAAAUUCUGCGAGUAGAAAAAGCCAGUCCCAAAGAAUGGAGCAUUAGAAAUCACAGUCCAUGCACUGAUGCUCGAGCUUCUCGAGCAAAAGUACGAAACAUGUUGAUGAGUGAUAUACCUCCUGAGUUGGCAAACUAUAUACAGAUGAAGGUGACGAAAAAUCUUUGAAUGCACAAAACAUUUCUCCCUCUGUGUUUGAAUGAUCAACUUUUUUUUUUGCAUGACUUCAUAGGCGAGGAUAAAAAAUUUGCGUGUUGAGAGGAGCAAGAUCCAUGGCUGGGGUGUUCUGACUGUAAAGGAAAUUAAUUGUGAAGAACUUAUUGUGGAGUAUAUUGGGGAAGUGAUAUACAAGUCGGUUUCAGACAAACGUGAACUUGUCUAUGAGAAGUCUGGUAUAUGCGACUACUUCUUCAAGCUUGAUGCCAAUUAUGUGAUUGAUGCUACUCACCGGGGUGGGAUCGCUCGGUACAUUAAUCAUUCUUGUGAGCCAAACUGUGAAACGAAAGUGAUCCGUGUCAAUGGAAAGAAGAAAAUAUUCAUUUUUGCAAAAAACAAGAUUAAGGCGGGUGAAGAGCUUACCUACAAUUAUAAAUUUCCUUUUGAUGAGAUCAAAAUUCCGUGUCUAUGUGGUUCAAAGAGGUGCCGUGGAUCGAUGAACUGAGGAAUGGAGUUGGCAAGGUAUUGCUGGUGGUUCAGAGCAACUCAAUAUUCCAGAUCUCUUGUGUAAAAUCAGUCCGGGUUGACUGGCAGGUUCUUUGAAUGACUUUGCGGCAGGCUUCCGGCCCCAAGAACAUUACUGACAUCAAUUUUUCUUACUGACAUUAUCAACAUCAUGUGUUCUUGUUAUUGUGUUUGUAUGUACUUGCAGCUUAUAUACUUCCUGUUCGCAUGUUGGUGUUUACAUGGUUUUUUUUUACAUCACAUGACAAUACUGCACGGACACUAAAUGAUUUAGUGGCAGGUUUAUAAUUUUGCAUUUAGGCUUUGUCUAAUUUUUUACGUAUAUGAUAACUCAAGUAACAUUAAUCUUGUGAAUACAAAUACACCCUACUAGCAUAUCGAUAUGUUUAUGUUUAUGAAAUUAACAUAAAGGAGUUGUUUGUAGCAAUGUAGCACCAUGGUACCACCCAUCUGGACUCAUAGGCAGCAGGUGCCAUUGUCCAUAUCCAUUUGAUAACAUUGUAUCUUUAUUUGGUUUUGUAUGGACCAUUGAAUUGAUGGUAUGCCAAUCAGUCCAUUGCUCCAUCUGCCUCGGUAGCAAUCAACCAUGGAUCUGUGCCACAAGAACGGUUACUCAUGCCUUGCAGAACAAUUCCUAGGCUAGAGACAUCACUGGUACACAUACCAAGCCCAUCUUGGCCGAGUACCUCAUGCUCUGGAGCCUGAUCAGCGUCACACCCCCUGCCGCUGCCAGGAUGACGUUGUCCUU